UCAAAUGGUUCAGGAGGCAGCAAGGUC
rnacentral:piRNA from 1 species